rnacentral:lncRNA from 1 species
CCCCAGCUCCGGAGAUCAUGCCCUGAAACUCAGGAGUCCCCGCCCGGAAAAACCAGACAGAGGGCAAGGCGGGCCUGUCUGGCCGCAAAGAGGUCCGUACGUCGUCCUCACGUCUUCCCGGACAUGGGACAUCUGGCUUCCAGGUGGCAGUGCGCCGUCUGAGGGGAGGCAGGUGUGGGACCUCGGGGCCUCCAGGGGAGGUGAUGGACCCGGGCAUCCCGUGCCAACUGCCCCGAGGUCCCCCGGUGCCCCCCUAGAGUCUGGACAUCCAGACAGAUGAUGGGGCGAUCGCACAAGAUGGGCGAUUUCAAAAAUAGACCGUUUGGCAACAACAGUUUAGGUUUACAGAAACAUCACAGAGGUGGUACGGAGCUCCCGUAUGCCCCACACCGACGGCGCGUUUCGGUCUCCCGUCUCCCGUCUCCCACCUCGUGGGCCUUGGUGGCUUCUCUGCGGCGGAAGGCACGGCUGUCCGGGCUGGCCCUGCGACCAGUCCACGGCGAGGGCCUCGUUGGUGAGGCGACAUCUGUGCGGCCCUCCGCUAACACCCAGAUGUUGUGUCCCCCCUCCCCGGCCGGGAGCCAGGCCGGCACAGCACCGCUGAAGAAAACCAUCUGUUUCAUCAGGCUGGCUCUGGAAUGCUGUGCGGCUGGGUCUGAAGCCCCCGGUUGCAGCCCCCCAAAGCCACGCACCCGACUCCAACAAAAGAAGCACAGAAUAGGAACCGCUCGCGGGCUGCCAAAGCCGCCUUUCCCGGGCGGAGCGGGGCAGUGGUCACUUGGCAGGAGUGAAGGUCUCGCUGCCUGGAGUCGUACUUGGAGGAGCACGGAGUUGGUUCGGUUGCUCUGGAGGCCCGUGGAAAUGAACGUGACCUGCGUGUGGAAGGCGCGGCUCCCGGCUGCGCGGGCCGUGGGCUGUGGCCGGGCUGUGGCAGCAGAAGACGCAAAGGGACUGAGUGUCCAGCUCCCAGCUCCAGCCCUCGGGGCCCCCAGUGACAGUUCCUCGGCAUCACUCUGAUCCCGACCGAGUGGGGUGUUCACAUUGUGAAAUGAGCUGCGUGGCUGACCUGAAUGAAUCCUUACCUAGCGAAUUAAAAAAAAAAUUUUUUUGAACUAAUGACAGAGUCAGUAAUUAUAGACCCUGCACAAACGUGGGUCCCCGUGGACGCGUCUCCCGGCGGAGGCACCUGCACAGCUUCGGUGGUUGGACUGUGGGGACCAGGAGCAGGGAGGGGGCUGCAGGCGGCGUGGGG